GAUGAAGAACGUAGCGAAAUGCGAUAAGAAUGUGAAUUGCAGAAUUCAGUGAAUCAUCGAAUCUUUGAACGCACAUUGCGCCCAUUAGUAUUCUAGUGGGCAUGCCUGUUCGAGCGUCAUUUCAACCCUUAAGCCUAGCUUAGUGUUGGGAAUCUGCUGUAUUGCAGUUCCUCAAAUACAACGGCGGAUCUGUAACAUCCUCUGAGCGUAGUAAAUUUUUAUCUCGCUUUUGUUAGGUGUUGCAGCUCUCAGCCGCUAAACCCCCCAAUUUUUGUGGUUGACCUCGGAUCAGGUAGGAAUACCCGCUGAACUUAAGCAUAUCAAUAAGCGGAGGA
rnacentral:misc_RNA from 1 species